rnacentral:tRNA from 2 species
GGAGAGGUGCCGGAGAUGGCUGAACGGGGCGGCCUGCUAAGCCGUUGUAGGGUGUAUAACUCUACCGAGGGUUCGAAUCCCUCCCUCUCCG